CCGACGGUGAGGGGUGAAAGCUGGGGGAGCAAACCGGAUUAGAUACCCGGGUAGUCCCAGCCGUAAACGAUGUGCGUUAGGUGUAUCGGUGACCACGAGUCACCGAGGUGCCGAAGAGAAAUCGUGAAACGUACCGCCUGGGAAGUACGGUCGCAAGGCUGAAACUUAAAGGAAUUGGCGGGGGAGCACCACAACAGGCGGAGCCUGCGGUUUAAUCGGACUCAACGCCGGGAAACUCACCAGAUAAGACAGCUGAAUGAUAGUCGGGCUGAAGACUCUACUUGACUAGCUGAGAGGAGGUGCAUGGCCGUCGUCAGUUCGUACUGUGAAGCAUCCUGUUAAGUUAGGCAACGAGCGAGACCCACGCCAACAGUUGCU
rnacentral:rRNA from 1 species